CCCUACCCCAGAUUGAAACGCAAAGCAUUUUGGAAAAAAAAUAUAGAAUUCUUAAAGCAAAAAAGCGACCAACGGAAGCUCUUUUUGGUUUGUAGAAUUCUUUUUUUUGCCCAAAAUCUUGUAGUGAAAAGCUGGAAAAAGG
rnacentral:sRNA from 1 species